rnacentral:ncRNA from 1 species
ACUCCUACUUGACUUACACAUGCAAGUCUCCGCACACCCGUGAAAGCGCCCUUCCACCCACUCAGGAACUAGGAGCUGAUAUCAGGCACAACGCCCAAAACAUCUAGCCAUGCCACACCCACAAGGGUUCUCAGCAGUGAUUAACAUUAAAAAUAAACGCCAGUUUGAUUUGGUCAAAUGAAAAUAGAGCCGGCCAAUCUGGUGCCAGCCGCCGCGGUUACACCACGUGGCUCAAAUUGAUUUUAAAGCGGCGUAAAGCGUGAUUAAAGAAACUAACUAUUGGGGUCAAACUUAGAUUAAACUGUAGAACGACUAUCUAUAAGAAGAUCUUCCCCGAAAGAUACCCCAAUCCACCAACUUGAACUCACUAGAACUAGAAUACAAACUGGGAUUAGAUACCCCACUAUGUCUAUGUUACAAACUUUAACUUACACCCCCUCCCCAUCGCCAGGGAACUACGAGCAAAGCUUAAAACCCAAAGGACUUGACGGUACCCCAUAUCCCCCUAGAGGAGCCUGUCCAAUAACCGAUUCCCCCCGUUUUACCUCACCAUUUUUAGUUUAUCAGCCUGUAUACUUCCGUCGCCAGCCUACCGCGUGAGCGAAUAAGUAGGCUAAACAUCACCCACUAAUACGUCAGGUCAAAGUGCAGCUUAUAAAAUGGCAAGAGAUGGGCUACACUCUCUAGCUUAGAAGAUACGAAAGUCUAUGUGAAAUCAUAUUCCGAAGGCGGAUUUAGCAGUAAGAGGGGACUAGANNNCCCCCCUUAACUUUUCACCGGGGUGUGUACACACCGCCCGUCACCCUCUUC